rnacentral:ncRNA from 1 species
AUCUUCGGGGCAAGGUGAAAUUCCUUACCGGCGGUAUAGCCCGCGAACCUGUCUCCUGACGGAGCAGGCCGACUCGGUUGAAUUCCGGGGCCGACAGUACAGUCUGGAUGAGAGAAGA